UGAAAACAUAAGCUCAGCCUAGCCACAUUU
rnacentral:piRNA from 1 species